rnacentral:rRNA from 1 species
UACAGAGGGUGCGAGCGUUGUUCGGAAUUAUUGGGCGUAAAGGCGCGUAGGCGGUGCGGUAAGUCACCUGUGAAAUCUCCUGGCUCAACUGGGAGCUUGCAGGCGAAACUGCCGUGCUGGAGUGUGGGAGAGGUGCGUGGAAUUCCUGGUGUAGCGGUGAAAUGCGUAGAUAUCAGGAGGAACACCUGUGGCGAAAGCGGCGCACUGGACCACAACUGACGCUGAGGCGCGAAAGCUAGGGGAGCAAACAGG